CAGCCGCCGCGGUAAUGCGUAGGUGGCAAGCGUUGUCCGGAAUUAUUGGGCGUAAAGGGCUCGCAGGCGGUUUCUUAAGUCUGAUGUGAAAGCCUCCGGCUCAACCGGGGAGGGUCAUUGGAAACUGGGAAACUUGAGUGCAGAAGAGGAGAGUGGAAUUCCACGUGUAGCGGUGAAAUGCGUAGAGAUGUGGAGGAACACCAGUGGCGAAGGCGACUCUCUGGUCUGUAACUGACGCUGAGGAGCGAAAGCGUGGGGAGCGAACAGGAUUAGAUACCCGUGUAGUCCCUGUCUCUUAUAC
rnacentral:rRNA from 1 species